rnacentral:tRNA from 1 species
UGACGAGGUAAGCUAAGUUAUUAAGCUAUUGGGCUCAUAACCCAACAAUGGAUUAAAGUCCCCUUUUUAU